AGCCUAUUAGCUCAAAUGGUAGAGCAAUGUGCCCCACACAUAUAUGUAGGUUCGAGUCCUACAUAGGCUA
rnacentral:tRNA from 1 species